rnacentral:rRNA from 1 species
AUUGAACGCUGGCGGCAGGCUUAACACAUGCAAGUCGAGCGGAGAUGAGGUGCUUGCACCUUAUCUUAGCGGCGGACGGGUGAGUAAUGCUUAGGAAUCUGCCUAUUAGUGGGGGACAACAUUCCGAAAGGAAUGCUAAUACCGCAUACGUCCUACGGGAGAAAGCAGGGGAUCUUCGGACCUUGCGCUAAUAGAUGAGCCUAAGUCGGAUUAGCUAGUUGGUGGGGUAAAGGCCUACCAAGGCGACGAUCUGUAGCGGGUCUGAGAGGAUGAUCCGCCACACUGGGACUGAGACACGGCCCAGACUCCUACGGGAGGCAGCAGUGGGGAAUAUUGGACAAUGGGGGGAACCCUGAUCCAGCCAUGCCGCGUGUGUGAAGAAGGCCUUAUGGUUGUAAAGCACUUUAAGCGAGGAGGAGGCUCUCUUGGUUAAUGCCCAAGAUGAGUGGACGUUACUCGCAGAAUAAGCACCGGCUAACUCUGUGCCAGCCGCCGCCGUAAAAC